CUAUGUGCGUGUCAGUGAAGGAGGUGUGGCCUCUGUACGUAUGAGUGAAGGAGGUGUGUCCUCUGUGAGUGUCAGUGAAGGAGGUGUGGCCUAUGUGCGCAUCAGCAAAGAACGCGUGGCCUAUGUGCGUGUCCGUGAAGGAGGUGUGGCCUCUGUGAGUGUCACUGGAGGAGGUGUGGCCUCUGUGCAUGUGAGUGAAGUAGGUGGGGCCCCUGUGUGUCAGUGAAGGAGGUGUGGCCUCUGUGCAUGUCAGUGAAGGAGGUGUGGCCUCUGUGUGUGUCAGUGAAGGAGGUGUGGCCUCUGUGUGUGUCAGUGCAGAAGGUGGGGCCUCUGUACAUGUCAGUGAAGGAGGUGUGGCCUCUGUGUGUGUCAGUGAAGGAGGUGUGGCCUCUGUACAUGUCAGUGAAGGAGGUGUGGCCUCUGUGCAUGUCAGUGAAGGAGGUGUGGC
ensembl:lncRNA